rnacentral:rRNA from 1 species
AUUGAACGCUGGCGGCAUGCUUUACACAUGCAAGUCGAACGGUAACAGGCCGCAAGGUGCUGACGAGUGGCGAACGGGUGAGUAAUGCAUCGGAACGUGCCCAGUCGUGGGGGAUAACGCAGCGAAAGCUGUGCUAAUACCGCAUACGAUCUAUGGAUGAAAGCGGGGGACCGUAAGGCCUCGCGCGAUUGGAGCGGCCGAUGUCAGAUUAGCUAGUUGGUGGGGGAAAGGCCCACCAAGGCGACGUUCUGUAGCUGGUCUUAGAGGACGACCAGCCACACUGGGACUGAGACACGGCCCAGACUCCUACGGGAGGCAGCAGUGGGGAAUUUUGGACAAUGGGCGCAAGCCUGAUCCAGCAAUGCCGCGUGCAGGAAGAAGGCCUUCGGGUUGUAAACUGCUUUUGUACGGAACGAAACGGUCUGGGUUAAUACCCUGGGCUAAUGACGGUACCGUAAGAAUAAGCACCGGCUAACUACGUGCCAGCCGCCGCGGUAACAC